CCCUGGAUCCUUCUUCUGGCUGUUCUUGUAAAUGGGCGUCACACUUGCCAAUCUCCAGUCAACUGGGACCUGCCCAAUCAUCUAGCACCUCCCCUG